CCUUUUGUAUAAUGGGUCAGCGAGUUACUCUUUCGAGCAAGCUUAAGCCAUCAGGUGUAGGCGCAGCGAAAGCGAGUGUGAACAGCGCGUUCAGUUCGAAGGAGUAGACCCGAAACCGGGUGAUCUAGCCAUGAGCAGGCUGAAGGUGCGGUAACACGCACUGAAGGGCCGAACCCACGUCUGUUGAAAAAGACAGGGAUGACUUGUGGCUAGGGGUGA
rnacentral:rRNA from 1 species